rnacentral:rRNA from 1 species
GACGAACGCUGGCGGCGUGCUUAACACAUGCAAGUCGAACGGAAAGGCCCUGCUUUUGUGGGGUGCUCGAGUGGCGAACGGGUGAGUAACACGUGAGUAACCUGCCCUUGACUUUGGGAUAACUUCAGGAGACUGGGGCUAAUACCGGAUAGGAGCUCCUGCUGCAUGGUGGGGGUUGGAAAGUUUCGGCGGUUGGGGAUGGACUCGCGGCUUAUCAGCUUGUUGGUGGGGUAGUGGCUUACCAAGGCUUUGACGGGUAGUCGGCCUGAGAGGGUGACCGGCCACAUUGGGACUGAGAUACGGCCCAGACUCCUACGGGAGGCAGCAGUGGGGAAUAUUGCACAAUGGGCGGAAGCCUGAUGCAGCAACGCCGCGUGCGGGAUGACGGCCUUCGGGUUGUAAACCGCUUUCGCCUGUGACGAAGCGUGAGUGACGGUAAUGGGUAAAGAAGCACCGGCUAACUACGUG